UUCCGUAGGUGAACCUGCGGAAGGAUCAUUACCGAGUGCGGGUCCUUUGGGCCCAACCUCCCAUCCGUGUCUAUUGUACCCUGUUGCUUCGGCGGGCCCGCCGCUUGUCGGCCGCCGGGGGGGCGCCUCUGCCCCCCGGGCCCGUGCCCGCCGGAGACCCCAACACGAACCCUGUCUGAAAGCGUGCAGUCUGAGUCGAUUGUUUGCAAUCAGUUAAAACUUUCAACAAUGGAUCUCUUGGUUCCGGCAUCGAUGAAGAACGCAGCGAAAUGCGAUAACUAAUGUGAAUUGCAGAAUUCAGUGAAUCAUCGAGUCUUUGAACGCACAUUGCGCCCCCUGGUAUUCCGGGGGGCAUGCCUGUCCGAGCGUCAUUGCUGCCCUCAAGCCCGGCUUGUGUGUUGGGUCGCCGUCCCCUCUCUCCGGGGGGACGGGCCCGAAAGGCAGCGGCGGCACCGCGUCCGAUCCUCGAGCGUAUGGGGCUUUGUCACAUGCUCUGUAGGAUUGGCCGGCGCCUGCCGACGUUUUCCAACCAUUCUUUCCAGGUUGACCUCGGAUCAGGUAGG
rnacentral:rRNA from 1 species